rnacentral:rRNA from 1 species
CCUACGGGUGGCAGCAGUGGGGAAUAUUGCACAAUGGGGGAAACCCUGAUGCAGCGACGCCGCGUGAAGGAAGAAGUAUUUCGGUAUGUAAACUUCUAUCAGCAGGGAAGAAAAUGACGGUACCUGACUAAGAAGCCCCGGCUAACUACGUGCCAGCAGCCGCGGUAAUACGUAGGGGGCAAGCGUUAUCCGGAUUUACUGGGUGUAAAGGGAGCGUAGGCGGUUUAGCAAGUCAGAAGUGAAAGCCCGGGGCUCAACUCCGGGACUGCUUUUGAAACUGUUGAACUAGAGUGCAGGAGAGGUAAGUGGAAUUCCUAGUGUAGCGGUGAAAUGCGUAGAUAUUAGGAGGAACACCAGUGGCGAAGGCGGCUUACUGGACUGUAAAUGACGCUGAGGCUCGAAAGCGUGGGGAGCAAACAGGAUUAGAUACCCCUUAGUC